UACGUAGGGUGCGAGCGUUGUCCGGAAUUAUUGGGCGUAAAGAGCUCGUAGGCGGUCUGUCGCGUCGGCUGUGAAAUCCCGAGGCUCAACCUCGGGUCUGCAGUCGAUACGGGCAAACUAGAGUAUUGCAGGGGAGACUGGAAUUCCUGGUGUAGCGGUGAAAUGCGCAGAUAUCAGGAAGAACACCCGUGGCUAAGGCGGCUCUCUAGUACGGUACUGACGCUGAGACGCGAAAGCGUGGGGAGCGAACAGG
rnacentral:rRNA from 1 species